rnacentral:rRNA from 1 species
UACGUAGGGGGCAAGCGUUGUCCGGAAUCAUUGGGCGUAAAGCGCGCGUAGGUGGCUUCGUAAGUCCGGUGUGAAAGUCAAAGGCUCAACCUUUGAAUGCCGAUGGAUACUGCGAAGCUAGAGUACGGAAGAGGCGAGUGGAAUUCCUGGUGUAGCGGUGGAAUGCGCAGAUAUCAGGAGGAACACCAAUAGCGAAGGCAGCUCGCUGGGACGUUACUGACACUAAGGCGCGAAAGCGUGGGGAGCGAACAGG